rnacentral:sRNA from 1 species
UCCAUGGCAUAUAAGAGAAAAGUACACCCCACCACGCCGCAGUAGAGCCGCGUCUGAACUGCGCUUUGGUAAUCUGGUUUUUGUCGGUUUUUACAAUCGUUGAGUUGGUUUGGUCGUUUCUACAUCAUUCCAAUUUGUGUUUGUACCGGGGCUUUGGAUGUGUGUCAGAUAAAAUGUGUAAGAAAAUAUGAGCUUCAUUGAAAAUGCAACGAAGAAAGGAGUCUUUAAUUAAAGGGAUUGUCACGUUGCCCCUAACCAGUCCCAGCACUUUCAGUCAGGCUUCGACCUUUGGGUUCUGUACUGGCCACUUUUGUAUGUGAACUUGACACAGGCUAGAAUCAUCGCGGCAGAAAGGAGCUUCACCUGGAAAUGCUUCCACGAGAUCCAGCCGUAAGGCAGAAAGCAAAACUUCCGUCAACACACCGAAUGAAAAACAGAAAUAAAAAGGAGGAGGAUGCGACUACUUCUUAGAUGGUGUCACUAAGCAGUCUGUGAUUGUCCUACUUCUGCCUUGCAAGUCGCUGAAAUAAAACAAACGAACAAACAAACAAACACAAGAGUGUCUUUCCCCUAACACCAAGCUUAAGAUAUAGUGGAAUUCAGGUAGUGACUCUGUGGAUGCAAGCGUCUGGUAAUAAUUCCAGCUCGGGGGUUCUUCAAUAUGAAGAGGCUAGAGUGCGGAGCUGAACUAGAAUGGAUGCUAGACAAGUCCUGCCUCUCUUCAGACGCCCUUCCUCCCAGGACCAAAUUUGCUUCCUUUCCUCGUGACCUCAAAUGAGGGCUUCAAACCCGGAGGGGCUGAAGCCAGAGUUGUUGUUUUCUCAUUGGCUUGAGCAAGCUUCUUCCCAAACAGAGGAAGAAUGCUCCUGGCAUGAUUCAGGAUCUCCUCUCUUCCGUCUUCCCUCUGCCUCCCACUCAAAACCAGACAAAGACAGUUGGUGCCUGUGUGUGCGUGUUGGUUAAGAUUACGAAGUGAAUAAAAAAUGUCUCUUCAGUUUUCUGUUAUUUUCCUCUCCACAUUUUACUUUUGAUGAGCAUGAAUUUGUUGUCCAUGUGAAUAGGGUUCGGUCAGUUAUUACCAAAUGUAUGUAUAGCAUGGCUCAUUAGUUCUAACUAUUCUUUAUCUAAAUUGCAGCAAACACCAUUCUCCAUUCAGCCUGGAUUCCUUUGUCAUUACUUCCACACACGAGAGAGAACACAUGGUACUAGUCUUUCUGUGUCUGGCUUAUUUCAUUCAAAAUAACAUCCUCAAGUAAUGCCCACUUUGCUGAAAAUAACAGGGUUUUGUUUUUCAGGACAUUUUCCAUUUUUAUAUUUAUUCAUUGACGGACAUCUAGAUUGGCGAAAUAGCUUCGGUAUUGUGCAUAAC